rnacentral:rRNA from 1 species
GACGAACGCUGGCGGCGUGCCUAAUACAUGCAAGUAGAACGCUGAAGGAGGAGCUUGCUUCUCUGGAUGAGUUGCGAACGGGUGAGUAACGCGUAGGUAACCUGCCUGGUAGCGGGGGAUAACUAUUGGAAACGAUAGCUAAUACCGCAUAACAGUAGAUGUUGCAUGACAUUUGCUUAAAAGGUGCAAUUGCAUCACUACCAGAUGGACCUGCGUUGUAUUAGCUAGUUGGUGGGGUAACGGCUCACCAAGGCGACGAUACAUAGCCGACCUGAGAGGGUGAUCGGCCACACUGGGACUGAGACACGGCCCAGACUCCUACGGGAGGCAGCAGUAGGGUAUCUUCGGCAAUGGACGGAAGUCUGACCGAGCAACGCCGCGUGAGUGAAGAAGGUUUUCGGAUCGUAAAGCUCUGUUGUAAGAGAAGAACGAGUGUGAGAGUGGAAAGUCACACUGUGACGUAUCUACCAGAAGGA